UACAAUGGCUCGCUCAAUCUCCCUUCUAUCUUUCCCUCGUCCUCGUGCUCAAUCCAUCGCUACCGCCACUUUCACUCUCCACCAUCGCUUCCUCUUCAACAAAAUCAAAGGUUCCAAACCACACACCUUGUUUCCCCAUUGUACGACGAUAGCGGAUCUUCUUUCAAAUCUCGGAUCUUCUCCGGUGACAUCUCCUCUGGCGACGACCUCCUUUGGUGAAAUCUCUUCCCAUGGUAAUCUCCUCCGAUGAUGUCACCUCCAGCUUCCUCUCCUUUCCAUCCUAGCUUUGCGCCUUCUUUGCCAAAAUUCUCAGUGCCUCCCUCAGCGUCUUCUUUGAUGACAUCUCUCUAUUGAAGAUCUGUAUUUCCAAGCCAUCACAAACAGAACAAGCACAACUCUCCCCUGCUUCCUCUGUUCUCCUUUGGCAGAAAAUUUAUGGGAGAAAGCCCUGCACACAACCUGCUCGAUGAAAUGCUUCAACUAAAUUCUGCCCUUAUCAAUGCUUUUAUGACAGAACUGGAACCUGAUUCUCCAGUUAUCUAGAGAGAACUGCGGUGAAAAGAUGGAUGAAUUUCUUAAGAGAUGCUUUUACCAUUCUGGUCAGUAUGACUCUCAUGAAAACUUUGCAGCACUGGACAAGAAGCUUAAGGAACAUGAGAAUGGGAAAGCUUCUAGUUGCAUGUUCUAUCUAUCAAUUCCUCCAAACAUAUUCAUAGAUGCAGUAAAAUGUGCCAGUUCAUUAGCAUCUUCUGGUAAUGGUUGGACAAGAGACAUUGUUGAGAAGCCUUUUGGUCGAGGUUCAGAAUCUUCAGUUGUUUUAACAAAAUCGCUCAAGCAGUAUCUUCGUGAGGAUCAAAUUUUCAGGUUUUCUACCUAAACUGAUUAUGUAAUCUACUACUUUACAGACAAGUUUCACCACUUAAAAUCAUGGAGAAUCAUAUACAGGAUUGACCACUAUCUGGGGAAAGAGCUUAAUUAUUUGGUUAUUGUUUUGAAAGAUUUAAAGGUUGAAUGUGUCAAAACUUUCUGUUGAGGUUGUGUUUUUUCUAUUUCAUUUUUUGAUUAUAUAUGAACCAAUCUUAUUUUUGCCAUUUUAUUUGAGCAGGAAAUUGGAAAGUCUUGAAGUAAGACAUUCUUUUCAUCUCACAUUUGUCUUUUCUAUAUAUUGUGCAUUUGAUGCAUCAGGUUCAUAUUUCGUGUUUCCUCUGAACUUUUAUUAGUGAUGCUGAACAUUCUGGCUUUAUAUAUAUUGGAAAAUAUAUUGCUUUACUAGUUGACUUUUCUCGAAAGCCCCAUAUUUUCUUUGUUAGCAGUUGGGUAGAGCUUGCUUAAUAAUUUAAAUAUUUCCUGUGAUUUAAAUUUCCCCAUACCUCUACCUUGACCUUCGAUUUGCCAGCAUUUAACAUGAUUGCAAAAGCCUCUUCUAAGCCUAUAAAUCUCAUGCAUGCUCUUGGGUGAUGAAAGUUUGAGGCCAUCAUAUAUUAAUUUUGUUUUACAUUUGCAAUUUUUUAGCUAUUGGAAUAAUAUUGACAAGAUCAAUAGCAUAGAACACCUUAGGCAAAUGAAAGAAUCAGUCAGGGAAUCAAUUAAUCGUGUUUACAGAAGGAAAAUUUGGGAAAGCACCAAAUAAUGUCUCUUGAAUGUGCCAAUCAGCUUGAAGCAUGUGCCUGGCUUCAUUGAGAGAGCUGAGGAGCUAAAAGAAAAGGGUGUGGAUGAAUCAAUUUAGAUUACUGAUAACUUGGAACCAAGAUUUUACAAGGAUUUACGUAAUGAAAACUUGGCUUCAGUGAACGUUGUCUUGUGUAUAUAUAAAAAAUUGUUAUAGUUGUAUAUUUAUAUAUUUAUAGUUAAAAAAUCAUGUUAUGUUUGAUACUUCGUA